rnacentral:rRNA from 1 species
UUAUGGAGAGUUUGAUCCUGGCUCAGGACGAACGCUGGCGGCGUGCCUAAUACAUGCAAGUCGAGCGAAUGAUGAAGAAGCUUGCUUCUUCUGAUNGCCCUGUAGAUUGGGAUAACUCCGGGAAACCGGGGCUAAUACCGAAUAAUCCAUUUUCUCACAUGAGGAGAUGUUAAAAGACGGUUUCGGCUGUCACUACAGGAUGGGCCCGCGGCGCAUUAGCUAGUUGGUGGGGUAAUGGCUCACCAAGGCGACGAUGCGUAGCCGACCUGAGAGGGUGAUCGGCCACACUGGGACUGAGACACGGCCCAGACUCCUACGGGAGGCAGCAGUAGGGAAUCUUCCACAAUGGACGAAAGUCUGAUGGAGCAACGCCGCGUGAG